rnacentral:tRNA from 1 species
GCAGUGGUAGUUUAGUGGUAGAAUUCUCACCUUCCAUAUGAGAGACCUGGCUUCAGUUCCCAACCAAUGUA